CCUGGGCAACGUAGUGAGAUCUUAUCUCUAUAAAAAAUAAAAAAAGAAGAAACAUGAGAGCUUGCUGCUUCUGCUUUCCACCAUGUGAAUAUGCAGUGAGAAGAUGGCUAUCUGAAAGACAGGAAGUGAGCUCUCCCCAGACACUGGAUUUACUGGAAGCUUGAUAUUGGACUUCUCAGCCUCCAGAAAUGUAAUAAAUAAAUGUUUGUCAUUUAAGCCACCGAAUCUACAGAAAUUUGUUAUAACAACCCAAACUGACUAAGAUGGUCACCGAGCCUGGGAUUUGCUCAUACCUGAAAUUCAUCUUUGAUUUGGCUGGAGUUCGUCUGGGGGUCCAGCCUGCUGAUAUUGUAGUAGAGAGAACGGAACUCACACACAGGGAUGGCAGUGUUGCCACAGAGGCACGCUUCCAGGAUGGCGUCGUGCACAAACACAUAUUGCUCCUGCAAAGUCAGAAGAGAGGGAAUGGGGUGCCAGGUAAGAACAGUGCCCUGGGAAUUUGUGGUCCACAUUUAGUAUUGUGGCUAUGAAGGAUAGACACUUGUCAAUAUAUUGUAGAAUCCUUACUUUCUAUACUGUAACCCAAAGGACCAACUUUCCACGUUUCCUAAUGAUCACCUGAACUAUGGUGGGUCUUGUUUCUUACAGAAGAUGUAAUAGCAUAGUCACUGAUAAAAUGAGAAACUUCUAGACAUGCUGUAGCAGGUGCUCUUUGUGUCCAGCCCAUGUCCCUUCAGCUUUCACCUUUACCUAAGGAAGGCUGCUUGCUGCAAACACCUGUGAUUCUCUGCUGAAGGCAGAGAGGAUACUUGGGCUGUACGGAAAGUAACCCUCAAGCAGAGACAGAUAGAGAGUUGAGGACGGAAAUCUAAGUUCCUUCUCCCUUUAGGUGGAAUCACUUGGACACGCAUGUGUCUCAGAGUUCCCAGCAGAAUUGGGUUCCAGUUGUCUACAGUGUUGAACAGCUUGUUAAAGUAGCCUUUGUUUCCUUCCCUGCUCUGCCUCACUUUCCCAUUCACCAGCCAGUGUGUCUUGGGAUUACCUUCCAAGCAAAUUAUUUGCCCGCAAAUCUUUGUCUCACAAUCUGCUCCUAAAACAUGUGUCAUGUCUUCUCCUAUCUCAAUUAUUUAUACCUGCUGUUCUCUCCUCCUGAAACUCCACUCCCUCUUUUCCAUACCUUUAAUGUUUCAUUCUUUCUGGAAGACCAUCUGUUAAUCCACCAGGCAGAAGUUGGUGUCACUUCUAGGCCCUAGAUAAAUGUUUGUUGAGUGACCUUUUCUGCAGAACUUGGUCAGUUUCUCUAUAAAGUGUGCUUUUCCAGAUGCAACAUGAUGCAUCUGCAUUUGAAUAUGUCUGUCUCCUCAUCUGUCUGACUGCAACUGGAAAGCCUGCCUUCUGCAUGCAUGAACCUGGGAAUGGAUAAAGCAGCCCUCUUGGCUUUAGUGCUAGAAGCCUGAAGACUGGCCUGUGUGAGUUAGCUCAGAGCCUAUGUGUGUAAACCAAUCAGUGGUGGUAUUCACUGCAGAGUCAGAGGGGCUGGCUGUACCAAAGCCAUGGGUCACUUCCCUUUGCAGGAUUGAUGAUGUACACAGUUCCUUAUCUGUCCCAGCUCUGACUGCCCAAGCACCCAGAGCCUUCACUAGAACAGAAGAUGGGCUCAUUACGGGAAUGAUAAGCCAAGGCACAGAGUGGGAUAGGCAGAAAAGGCUGCUUAGUCAGAGUGUGGUUCUGGCAAAAAAGCAGAGGCCUUUGGGGUCACAUGGACCCAAGUUCUCCCACAGUCUGGUAUGUGAGGUCUUAGGGACACAAUUUCUUAGUUUCUUCUUCAUUGAUAAAUUGGAGAUAAUACUAGGAGCUACACCACAGCUGUUUUGGAGGAGUAGAAACACUACCGCGACUAGAAAGAAUGUAUGCUGCCUGGCUCACAGUAGGUACACAACAAUAAAGAUUAAUUCCUUUCAGUACUCUUAGGUCUGGGCUCUCUAACUGCACAGAGAAGUGCUGAAGGUCUGCUUCUCCCUUGAGGGCAGGGGCUAUGUAUUACAUCUCUUGAAAUCCCCAGCACCCAGCCUAAGUACUCAGUUACUUUGUUGAUUAAACCAUUCCCUGCAGUGACUGAACCAUCGCUUGGCACGUAGUGGUCACUGAAUAAAUGCCAGUCCUUCUCUUUCUCUAUCACUUCACCCAAGGCAAGAAUGCUAUUCAAAUAAUCCCCGAAAUUUGUCACUCUGUCCUUGCUUGGAUGGCCUCAGAGAUGGAGAACUCACCACCAUUCUUCAUUGGUGGAACUCCCUGCACUGUUAGACCUCCAGGGUUGGCUGGGGCACCCUAGCUUCCACAGUAGUCUCUCCAUAGUAAGCCAUGAGUCUACUCCCUCCCGCUUCUCUCACACCCUUUCCACAGGUUGCCCCUACCUAUGGGUCUCUCAGUUCUAUCAUGUUUCUCCUUGGUCAGGGCUACAGGUGGCCAACGGUCUUGGUCCCUUAGGACUCACCUCUGUCUGUACCAGGUUGACCCUCUGGGCCCGGAGCUCACGCACGCAGUUGAAGAUGUCCACCACCCCUUCAUUCUCGGCCAUGUCAAGCAUGGUGUCAAUGGCAAUGAAGCAGCCAGUCCGCCCAGCCCCAGCACUGGAAGAGAGCAAAUGGGUUGAUGGAUGGAAGCAAAGAAGGAGAGGAGAGAGAACAGAGGGGAGGUGAAUGACAGGACAGAAACUCGAGUUCUCCGAGCUGCGCCCAAGAUGGAGAGUGGAUGGUGGAGCACAAUGUUCAAAGACCAGCAUCUGGCUCCAUCUGCGGCUGUUUUCCCAGGAUCAUGAAGCAAGAGCAUCAUGAAACUGGAGCAGCUGACGGUCUGGAGACCCUUGUCAGGGAUCAAGUUUCCGAAGCAAGAGCCUUAUGAAACUGGAGCAACUGACCGUCUGGAGACCCUUGUCAGGAAUCAAAUUUCCUAAUACAUACUUGAUUUCUGGUCACUAGUGGCUUCUUUAGGAGAAUCUUAGACCAAGUACAAAAUAGCAGAGGAACUCAAUGAGACUCUAUGGGCCUUGGCCAGCCCUUUCUAGAUGAGUGCUGGGCUCUGAAACAUCAGUGCCGACCAAGAGGCACAUAAGACAUGUGCCUCACACAUGUGCAGUUUUGGAUGGGAAGGCUGGGCAGCCUGUCAAGGAGGCCCCCUUCCACUGCGUUUUCACAUCUUGCAUUUCUCAUGGAAACAAGCGUCUUUGUCUAACAAUGUGGAUGUCAAAAGAAACACAAAGAGGAAGAGAGAUGGAACAAAACAAAAAAGCAAUAUUGGCUGAUUAUAAAUCCAAGGAGCACAGGCUAGCGCGGACCACUACCUACAACAAUUUGGAAAGUACACCCAUCGGAAGCAGAGUCUUCAUUCAUGAGAAAAUUUCAUAGUUUAAGUUUGCUUCAGAACCUACUCCCCAAAAUCCAGAUGCGAGGACUCAAGAGACUCGGCGUCUGUAUCUGGGAGGGAGUAUAGGGGGUCACUCGUGUUUUUUCUUCAAUGUUCAUAUUCAGCAUGCUUUAGUAUAAAGAACCAGCCCAGUUUGGUUCUGAAUUUUGGAACUAUCAGUGGUGACCAAGUUGCCUAGUGUCCGUUAGCUUCAGACUUCUGAUGCAUUUAACAUACCUCCCUGCAGGGUCCUUGUGAAGACAGAGCUGUGUUUAUUUCAGCAUCACAUAGUAAUCAAACACAGGGUCUUUGAAGAGACCCCUAGAAUUAAAUCCUGGCUCUAUUACUUACUAGCUGUGUGACCUUGGGCAAAUGACUUAACCUCUCUGGGUUUCAAUACUCAUCUAUAAAAUGAUGUUAAUAAUUAAUAGAUCUACCUCACAGCAUUAAUAGCCUAAUAUGUAUAAAUUGCAUGGAAUUACAAUUAAAAUGCAUAAUGUAUACACAUUGCUUUGUGCCUGGAUACAUAAUAAUUUCUCAAUAAAAGUCUUAGUAGACUCUCA